rnacentral:rRNA from 1 species
UACGGGGGGGGCAAGCGUUGUUCGGAAUUACUGGGCGUAAAGGGCUCGUAGGUGGCCAACUAAGUCACACGUGAAAUCCCUCGGCUUAACCGGGGAACUGCGUGUGAUACUGGAUGGCUUGAGUUUGGGAGAGGGAUGCGGAAGUUCCAGGUGUAGCGGUGAAAUGCGUAGAUAUCUGGAGGAACACCGGUGGCGAAGGCGGCAUCCUGGACCAAUACUGACGCUGAGGAGCGAAAGCCAGGGGAGCAAACGGG